rnacentral:rRNA from 1 species
AUACGUAGGGUGCGAGCGUUAAUCGGAAUUACUGGGCGUAAAGCGUGCGCAGGUGGUUGUGUAAGUCAGAUGUGAAAUCCCCGGGCUCAACCUGGGAACUGCAUUUGAGACUGCACGGCUAGAGGAUGGCAGAGGGGGGUAGAAUUCCACGUGUAGCAGUGAAAUGCGUAGAGAUGUGGAGGAAUACCGAUGGCGAAGGCAGCCCCCUGGGCUAUUUCUGACACUCAUGCACGAAAGCGUGGGGAGC